GCCAUCAAUUGACUUCUCUCUCCCAAGAUGAAAAUUCUGUUGUUCUGCGUCGCUCUAAUUGCGUGCGUGUGCGCUGCCUACGCGAUGCCCGCGUGGAUAGAUGAAGCCCUGGGGUCUGCCCAGGAAGCGCGCGCCGCGGGGACUGCGAGGCAUGCACAACACCCACUGCUGGGCUGGGGCAGGCAUGCACAACACCCACUGCUGGGCUGGGGCAGGCAUGCACAACACCCACUGCUGGGCUGGGGCAGGCACGCACAACACCCACUGCUGGGCUGGGGCAGGCAUGCGCAACACCCACUGCUGGGCUGGGGCAGGCAUGCUAGCAUACCCUACUAGCAACGAGCGUCUGACUAUUACGAACCUGUGAUUGAAAAUCUUCUUGAAUGCUAAUUACUCGUAAUUUUUUCUAGUUUGACUGCUGUAGGUAAUCCAAAAAGAUUUUAGCUUCGUAGUAAAAUGUAAACUGCGUGUAAUUGUUUUGUUUAAUAAAGCAUUUUUAAAUUA